AUUCCUAAGUCAAGUCUUUGCUGUUACCAUCAAUAACUGCUAACUCAGAGGAUGCAACCUUAGUAAUUCAUUUCCUUAAUGGCCAGUUUCACAAAGAGGCUGCAGGAAGCUGCUUCCAGCAGUCUGAGUCCUGAGGAGGAGACGAUAACAGUGGGAGAAGCACCUGGUAACAGCGGCACUUCAUCCAGGAAGAAAACAGGAUCUAAAAUAUAAACAACAUCCUUACAACACAAAAUAUGAGCGUCCAUCAUGGACCAACCAAUAACUUCAAUAAAAGUGCUGUAUCCCCUGGCAGAUGAUGAGUAUCUUCAAGAUGGUGCCCAAAGGAGAGAGAGAAUAAACUUGAACAUUCUGACUUUGAAGUGCUUGAACAUGAAAGACAGAGAAUUGACCAGAAGCAAGCGUCCUUAGAGUGGGGUCGUCAUAUUUGAGAAAUGUGCUACAGGGAUCUAGCACACUGCAUUGCCUCACAGCUAAAUUCCCACUGGAUUGUUGGUCUGAAUCACCGAUUGAAAAAUCAAAUGUCUUCAGGGACCCGGCAGGAUCCCGAAGGACGCCGCUCUAAGCCAGAGGGAGCGGUGUGUGUUGUGGCUGAAGUGGAAAAUACAAGCCCAGUUUAAGGGCAUUCAAACAUGAAUUGUUUUUUUUAAAGCCGUGCGAGUCAAACAAAACAUGUCAGCAGUUCUUAUUAGGCUAACAGGUUGCUGGUUUG
rnacentral:lncRNA from 1 species